rnacentral:rRNA from 1 species
AUUGAACGCUGGCGGCAUGCCUUACACAUGCAAGUCGAACGGUAACAGGUCUUCGGCCGCUGACGAGUGGCGAACGGGUGAGUAAUGCAUCGGAACGUGCCCAGUCGUGGGGGAUAACUGCUCGAAAGAGCAGCUAAUACCGCAUACGACCUGAGGGUGAAAGCGGGGGACCGUAAGGCCUCGCGCGAUUGGAGCGGCCGAUGUCAGAUUAGCUAGUUGGUGGGGUAAAGGCCUACCAAGGCAACGAUCUGUAGUUGGUCUGAGAGGACGACCAGCCACACUGGGACUGAGACACGGCCCAGACUCCUACGGGAGGCAGCAGUGGGGAAUUUUGGACAAUGGGCGCAAGCCUGAUCCAGCAAUGCCGCGUGCAGGAAGAAGGCCUUCGGGUUGUAAACUGCUUUUGUCAGGGAAGAAAUCUUCUGGGCUAAUACCCCGGGAGGAUGACGGUACCUGAAGAAUAAGCACCGGCUAACUACGUG